UCAUAGAAACAAGUACUUUGAAUACAACAUGUUAAGUAGUGUGUAUCCUAGCACAACCGUUCCCUAGAUCACGAUCUUGGAAAUAACAGCUUCUGUAAGCCUCCAGUUCCUCAUCUACCCAUCCACAGGAAGCUCUUGGCCCAGGGCCUGGUACAUUAAGUGCUCAAUAAAUAGUUGUUUGUGUUGCUAUUGGGUAGGGUCACACAGAACCAGUUUGGUGCAAAGCUGGAAGAUCCUCUAUCGUCCUGAGAUUUUACAUUAAGGGAGUCUAGCAUCAGGCUCUGGUCACUGUGUGUGUGCACAUGUGUGGAAGCUGCUUCUAAGACAAAAAUAAAGAAGAGGAUCUGAAAGAGAGGUGGACAAAGAGAUGAAUUAAGGGAUGGUUUGUGGCAGGACACAAGCUUCCCUGUAGGCUGAUAUUUUUGAGGAGCAUCUGUUUUGCCUUAAGUAUAGGGUCUCUUUAGGGAAUGUUUUUAAAGGAAGUUGAUCUUUUCCUGAAGUUUCUCCCAACUCUGCCAUGUGGUUCAGCAGAGGCCAGUGGUGUGCAGUUUGUGCACAGGCAGCUCUGCCUCCUGGGAACACCAGUUCACUGAGAAUGAGCAUGGACUGCUGAAUGUCUGUCAGGAGGGAACCAAUUUCCACCAUUUCAAAUCUAGAACAGAUUUGAACUAAUGCCCUGGAUUUAGAAAGCCAUCCUUUCUCUGGUUGAAUCAAGAAUGGGUGGUUUUAAGCACGUUGCUUGGAUGAAUGUUAUAUUGCAGUAUACCCUUCUCUAGAGUAUUAGACACUUUAUGAAAUCUGUUAGCUGCUUGGGUACAGUAUGGUUUUGAUUAAAUUAUAGAUGUUGUCCCUGCAAACCCAUAUAGUGUGGGUUUUUGAGACCUACAAGGAUAUGCUUUUAUAUAGUGUCCACUCCAUAAAUUCAGGACUUUGUGCCUUGCAAACUAAUCUCUUUCAAUUAAGUAAUUUUUAAAUGCUUAAAUAGCAUGGUGUAAUGGUAAGAGUAUGGGCUUUGAAGUCAGAGGACAGAUUCCAGUUCUCUGCUUUCCAGGUGCUUGACUUUAAGUCAACUAAAAUUUCUCUGAAUUUUUCUUCAUCAGAUGGGCAUAAUAGCAAUUCCUACUCAGGAUGGGGAUAUUAGGAGAUUCAAAAUGCAUAAUGGGUGUUGAAUACUUAGCUCAGUGUCUGGGAACUAGUGGAUGCUCUGAGCACCAGGUCUCCAUCCUCUACUUUCUUAAUGGCCCUGAGGAGCAAAAAUAAUAAUCAUAUUUGUACAGCCUGAAUCAGCAAUGCAUCCAUUAAGUGUCUUCAGGGGGAGCAAAACUCAGUAGUUUUCUUGUCACAUGACAAGUACUGGGAAUCAAGUCUAACACAGAACUGAGGAUAUCAUCUUUCUCACUUUGCAGGGUUUUCCAGUGAUCAGUGAAUGGUAUUCUGAUUGGAAAAGUGCAAGAUAAAAAACAACUCUGCAAGGAAAUCAAUAACUAGUAAUGCCAAACAGAUCAAGCUUGAUUCACAACUCUGUAAAAUAAAGAACACUUCUGAGAGCAGAGUUUUCCAGUUAUCAUCUCCUUUCCUGUGUCAGAUUGCUGUUUUCCAGGGAGACAGCUGAGGAUGAGGUUGAGGACACGGGGACUCAUGAGUUUUGAGAGAGGAGGACGCGAAGCCUGACACACUUAUUGUGGGGAGUCUUUCAGAAAGAAAAAGACCAGUAACUUGAAUGUUCUGCUCUUAAGAAAGACACAUGCCAGGAGGAAGGAAACUCACAAGGUUCUUAAUGACAUUACUGACAAAAGAAGGUCCUAGUAACCUUCAGUGCCGCCAGUCAGACUUGACUGGUUGGUAGCUGAAGGAAAUUAAUUGAUUCCUGUUUUUGUGUGGGAGUGGAAAGGGCAUUAGGCAUAAUGAAUAAUGGCUUUCACCUUGAGCCCGUCCUCCAAACUUGCAAACAGAAAUAAAUGCCUUGAAGUCUUUUCUGAGAGAACUAGUUUAAGUGAAGGGGAAUCUCUGGUGGUCUUCAAUUCUGGUUGGCAAGGAAGGAUUUUUAUAUUUAAAACAUUUUUUUUUAGAAAAGUAAUAUAUGAGUGCUGAGAUUUGAAUUGUAUAACUUCAUACAAAGAGUUUACAUGAUAACUUUAUACAUCGUCAAGUUUCUUACACUUUUUACUUCUACUUUUCAUGUUAGUCACACCAAUAUUGUGUUAGAGGCCCUGCAUUUGAUUUCAUGAUGGUUGUAAAUGUACUGAGCAUUUACUUUAUGCCAAGCAGUAUACUAACGAU